GACAACAUGACCAGACACCAACCAUGGAAACUGUGACCGGACACCAAACCGAGACAAUGUGACCGGACACCAACCAUGGAAACUAUGACUGGACACCAACCCAAGACACUGUGACCGGACACCAAUCCGAGACAACAUGACCAGACACCAACCAUGGAAACUGUGACCGGACACCAACCCGGGACAACAUGACCGGACACCAACCCGGGACAACGUGACCGGAC